rnacentral:rRNA from 1 species
GACGAACGCUGGCGGCGUGCCUAAUACAUGCAAGUCGAACGCAGUGGGGACGGGUGAGUAACACGUGGGUAACCUCCCAUCAGAGGGGAUAACACUUGGAAACAGGUGCUAAACCGAUACUGAUGGAUGGACCCGCGGUGCAUUAGCUAGUUGGUGAGGGAACGGCUCACCAAGGCCACGAUGGAUUGCCGACCGUGGAGGGUGAUCGGCCACACUGGGACUUAGACACGGUCCAGACUCCUACGGGAGGCAGCAGUAGGGAAUCUUCCGCAAUGGGCGAAAGUCUGACCGAGCAACGCCGAGUGAGUGAGGAAGGUUUUCGGAUCGUAAAACUCUGUUGUUAGAGAAGCGGUAUCUAACCAGAAAGCCACGGCUAACUACGUGCCAGCAGCCGCGGUAAUUC